CAGUCGCCGCGGGAAUACGAAGGGUGCAAGCGUUACUCGGAAUUACUGGGCGUAAAGCGUGCGUAGGUGGUGGUUUAAGUCCGUUGUGAAAGCCCUGGGCUCAACCUGGGAAUUGCAGUGGAUACUGGGUCACUAGAGUGUGGUAGAGGAUAGUGGAAUUUCCGGUGUAGCAGUGAAAUGCGUAGAGAUCGGAAGGAACACCUGUGGCGAAGGCGACUAUCUGGGCCAACACUGACACUGAGGCACGAAAGCGUGGGGAGCAAACAGGAUUAGAUACCCGCGUAGUCCCUGUCUCUUAUAC
rnacentral:rRNA from 1 species